GACGAACGCUGGCGGCGUGCUUAACACAUGCAAGUCGAACGGAAAGGCCCUGCUUUUGUGGGGUGCUCGAGUGGCGAACGGGUGAGUAACACGUGAGUAACCUGCCCUUGACUUUGGGAUAACUUCAGGAAACUGGGGCUAAUACCGGAUAGGAGCUCCUGCUGCAUGGUGGGGGUUGGAAAGUUUCGGCGGUUGGGGAUGGACUCGCGGCUUAUCAGCUUGUUGGUGGGGUAGUGGCUUACCAAGGCUUUGACGGGUAGCCGGCCUGAGAGGGUGACCGGCCACAUUGGGACUGAGAUACGGCCCAGACUCCUACGGGAGGCAGCAGUGGGGAAUAUUGCACAAUGGGGGGAAGCCAGAUGCAGCAACGCCGCGUGCGGGAUGACGGCCUUCGGGUUGUAAACCGCUUUCGCCUGUGACGAAGCGUGAGUGACGGUAAUGGGUAAAGAAGCACCGGCUAACUACGUG
rnacentral:rRNA from 1 species